rnacentral:rRNA from 1 species
CCUACGGGGGGCUGCAGUGAGGAAUAUUGGUCAAUGGGCGGAAGCCUGAACCAGCCAAGUCGCGUGAGGGAUUAAGGCCCUGCGGGUCGUAAACCUCUUUUGCCGGGGAGCAGAGUUCUGGACGUGUCCGGUCCGGGAUAGUCCCCGUAGAUAAAGCAUCGGCUAACUCCGUGCCAGCAGCCGCGGUAAUACGGAGGAUGCGAGCGUUAUCCGGUUUUAUUGGGUUUAAAGGGUGCGUAGGUGGUUAAUUAAGUCAGCGGUGAAAGUUUGUGGCUCAACCAUAAAAUUGCCGUUGAAACUGGUUGACUUGAGUAUAUUUGAGGUGGGCGGAAUGCGUGGUGUAGCGGUGAAAUGCAUAGAUAUCACGCAGAACUCCGAUUGCGAAGGCAGCUUACUAAACUAUAACUGACACUGAAGCACGAAAGCGUGGGGAUCAAACAGGAUUAGAUACCCCUGUAGUC